GACGCAGUAGCUCAGUUGGUAGAGCAACAACUACUUUUCGCUUUGGGCAAAAAAAGUUCCUAAGCUGUGUGUCACAGGUUCGAUUCCUGUCUGCGUCA
rnacentral:tRNA from 1 species